rnacentral:rRNA from 1 species
GGCGUAAACAAAGGGAAGCGAGACGGUGACGUUAAGCAAAUCCCAGAAAUAACGUCCCAGUUCGGAUUGUAGUCUGCAACCCGACUACAUGAAGCUGGAAUCGCUAGUAAUCGCGAAUCAGAAUGUCGCGGUGAAUACGUUCCCGGGUCUUGUACACACCGCCCGUCACACCAUGGGAGUCGGAAAUGCCCGAAGUCAGUGACCCAACCGUAAGGAGGGAGCUGCCGAAGGUGGAGCCGGUAACUGGGGUGAAGUCGUAACAAGGUACC